GGAAGCGUCGCAUAGUGGCCAAUUGCAACAGGUUGCUAACCUGUACCGAUUUAUCGGUUCGUGGGUUCGAAUCCCACCGCUUCCG
rnacentral:tRNA from 1 species